CAGAGAGUUGUGAUAGCAGCUUGUCAAAAUGCAGGAGCGCUGCCUAUAGCGGGAUUCAUCGUUUUGCUCUUUUGCUUGGAGGUGUGUUUUCUUCAUCUUUAGUUGUGCUGGAUAUUAAGGCAUUCGUGCUCCACGUGUAAGAUUGCUCUAUAGCUUAUGAGUCUUUACUGGUUGCUCUCCUAUGGAUGGGGCCAGUAUGGGAACUGCUGAGUGAGGUAGGGAGAGAAAGGAGUUUUCUUCAGGGGCUCUGUGCUGGCCACACCAUCAAGACAUUUUGUUUGGGUGCAAGGUAAUCCCUUGAUCUUCUCCCUCCUCAUUUUGGUUCCUUUUAAUCCUAAGAACAAUUCCAAGGAAUUUAAAGCUGAGAAAUCCAGAAGAUCUCCUGCUGUAGGCUUUCAUCCCCCUGGAGAAAACAUCAAUGCUGACCCAGGCAGCCUCCUUCUACAGAGAAGCGAGGGGAAACUUUGAAGUGGGCCUGGAGAGUCAAGAGAGGAGUUUUGUCUGGGAAACUGCUUUGGAAAUGUUGAACUGCUCAGCUGCCACUCAAGAGAUGCCAGAAGGACAGAAGAAACUGUGAUGUCCCUCACUCCCUUUGGGUUGCAAGUGAGAGAUGGGACAUAGCUGGGGGCUGGCUGGUGAUUGUGAUCUAGAGACCAGCCACAUUAAUGCAAGGGCUUCAAUUAAAGGAUUUCACGGGAGGGAUGCAGAACUUGCCCCCGAGGUCCUGACUGAGUGAGGAAGGCAGCUGCUGCAGGCGGGGGGGCAGCUCCUGCCCCUCACCACAGGAGCACCACGAGUGGUUGUAACGCCGGGCAUCUCUGUCCUGCAGCUGAUGGAAAGGUGAGGAAAGGGCUCCCCGGCCUAAUUAAUUUGGAGUGCCCUGAAGAUAAAUCAAGGCUGAAAACACACAGCCUGCCUGAGCACUGAAAUUACAUUCCAGGCACAUAGUUACUCAGCAGCUUUUAUGUGGGGAUCCGCAGCACAACCUUACAGCACGAGCGUGUCUUCCUGGUCGCUGCUGAGCUGUCAGGUUGCACACCUGGAAACAGAAGGUUUGGGACCCGCUGCAAGAUUAAUUCACUGCGUAUUGGUGAGAAAUUUAGUUAUCUUGAUAAAAGACCUUCACAGGAGCCUUUGCAUUGUGUCCAAUAAUGUCAUGCUGUGCUGUGGGAGUGCCAGAAGAUGUCAACCAAAAGCAAGGCUGUGGUGUAGGUGUUCAGUACUGGACCUCGAGACUUCUCAUCUGACCCUCACACAGCGAAACAUAAGCACAGGCCAUUGGAAACCAGGGAGUUAUUGUGUGAGAAGCAAUCACAGCAAACGCACUCCAUGGGUUAAAGCUCUUGAUUGCACUCGUUCCUGCUCACCAUCUACCUGGAGACCUCUAGAGAAGGUGCUGGACAUGCCAACUUCACUGCUGAAGCUGUUCUGCUGAUAUCGACCUGCAUAAUCCCCCUUCACAGCUGCAGCCAGAGAUAUCAUUAUAUAUACAGAAUGAAGAUCAAAUUCAGUGUUGGUACAUCCAGCAGGGAAAUGUUUCAAAGGACCGAGCUGGCCAGUAUCUGCCUGGCUAUCUAUCUUCUCCUUUUCUGCCCAGCCUUGCCUUUCCUGUUGCACAUAUCCUAAAGGAUGUUUUAAGCACAAUGCAGGUGAAGAAGUAGUGUUAUUUCAGGGGAAAACAUAUUUUUUGGCCAUUGUUAAAAAUCCCAUUAUGGGAAGAUGUGACCUCAGCAGCAAUCACUGCGUCCACUACCUUGAAACCCUCCCGUACCUGCAAGCUGGAAGAAACAACAAAUUCUGGUUUGUGUCAAAAUCUAUCAGAUUACCAUAAACUCUUCUGUCCUUGCUGCAGUUUUAAACUGGUGACCCUUUGUCAUUCAAUCCCAUCUGCAUCAGAGACUGAACAAAGUUGUGCAUUUCUCAACCUGAACAGUCUAGAAUAAGAAUGUCAGCAGCAGAAAUACGCUCCACUUACAAGAUCUCAGGCGAAAGAAAAUGAUUUCAUAGUCUUGUACGCUAAGUUGUUUUUCUUUCCUGUCUUAACCAGCAUGGUGAGAAAAUGGUGAGAGGAAAAUGUGUGCACCUGGGUUAUUCUAGAAGGGCCCAGCAGCAAACAUUAUGAAGUCUGCCAUGAAAUGUUUAUCAGUCUAAUUACCAUUACAAUGUAAUGGUUCUCUGGAUGAAUCUUGAAAUCAAGUGCAAAACUCUUUGAUUUAAAGAUUACCGAAAUCACUGUACUCAGCUGACAGGAAGACAGGCACUGUAGACUUCAAUAAACUACUUGAACACAAUACAGAGCUAAAAGGAUUUUAAGGAAUUUGUUCUUAUCUUCUCUACAUUUCAAAUCUAUGCCUGCUUUGAGUCUAAUAACUUUGUAUUACUUGUUUGACGAAAGCAUAUCUUCUGGAAAGGUAUCUAGGAAAUGUAGAGGUCACUAAUGCACUCGGUGGGUUUUUCUAGUGAGUAAUCUCCUUCUCCAUCAGAAGUAUGUACCUCAGAAGUACUUCUACUACAAGUAUUUGCUGCUUGUAAAACCCUUGUACACUAUACUCGAGUUAACUCUCAAUAUUCUUUUCAACAGCAAACCAGCUUGAAUCACAUAUUUUUAAAUCCUUUUUCCUUAGCAACUCCAAAUAAUUUCUGUGGCUAUUUUUUAAGUUCUCUUACU